AGCAUAUCAAUAAGCGGAGGAAAAGAAACCAACAGGGAUUGCCCCAGUAACGGCGAGUGAAGCGGCAACAGCUCAAAUUUGAAAUCUGGCCCCUCCGGGUCCGAGUUGUAAUUUGUAGAGGAUGCUUUUGGUGAGGUGCCGCCCGAGUUCCCUGGAACGGGACGCCGCAGAGGGUGAGAGCCCCGUCUGGCUGGCCACCGAGCCUCUGUAAAGCUCCUUCGACGAGUCGAGUAGUUUGGGAAUGCUGCUCAAAAUGGGAGGUAUAUGUCUUCUAAAGCUAAAUAUUGGCCAGAGACCGAUAGCGCACAAGUAGAGUGAUCGAAAGAUGAAAAGCACCUUGAAAAGAGGGUUAAACAGUACGUGAAAUUGUUGAAAGGGAAGCGCUUGUGACCAGACUUGGGCGCGGCGGAUCAUCCGGGGUUCUCCCCGGUGCACUUCGCCGCGUCCAGGCCAGCAUCAGUUCGUCGCGGGGGAAAAAGGCUUCGGGAACGUGGCUCCUCCGGGAGUGUUAUAGCCCGUUGCAUAAUACCCUGCGGUGGACUGAGGACCGCGCAUCUG
rnacentral:rRNA from 1 species